AUUGAACGCUGGCGGCAUGCCUUACACAUGCAAGUCGAACGGUAACGGGCCUUCGGGUGCCGACGAGUGGCGAACGGGUGAGUAAUGUAUCGGAACGUACCUUUCAGUGGGGGAUAACGUAGCGAAAGUUACGCUAAUACCGCAUAUUCUGUGAGCAGGAAGGCAGGGGAUAGCAAGACCUUGCGCUGAUUGAGCGGCCGAUAUCAGAUUAGCUAGUUGGUGAGGUAAAGGCUCACCAAGGCGACGAUCUGUAGCGGGUCUGAGAGGAUGAUCCGCCACACUGGAACUGAGACACGGUCCAGACUCCUACGGGAGGCAGCAGUGGGGAAUUUUGGACAAUGGGGGCAACCCUGAUCCAGCCAUGCCGCGUGAGUGAAGAAGGCCUUCGGGUUGUAAAGCUCUUUCGGCCGGGAAGAAAUCGUAUCAGCUAAUACCUGGUGCGGAUGACGGUACCGGCAUAAGAAGCACCGGCUAACUACGUGCCAGCAGCCGCGGUAAUAC
rnacentral:rRNA from 1 species